rnacentral:rRNA from 1 species
AUACGUAGGGUGCGAGCGUUGUCCGGAAUUACUGGGCGUAAAGAGCUCGUAGGUGGUUUGUCGCGUCGUCUGUGAAAUUCCGGGGCUUAACUCCGGGCGUGCAGGCGAUACGGGCAUAACUUGAGUACUGUAGGGGAGACUGGAAUUCCUGGUGUAGCGGUGAAAUGCGCAGAUAUCAGGAGGAACACCGGGGGCGAAGGCGGGUCUCUGGGCAGUAACUGACGCUGAGGAGCGAAAGCAUGGGUAGCGAACAGGAUUAGAUUCCCUGGUAGUCCAUGCCGUAAACGGUGGGCGCUAGGUGUAGGGGUCUUCCACGACUUCUGUGCCGUAGCUAACGCAUUAAGCGCCCCGCCUGGGGAGUACGGCCGCAAGGCUAAAACUCAAAUGAAUUGGCGGGG